UGGGGAAUAUUGGACAAUGGGCGCAAGCCUGAUCCAGCCAUGCCGCGUGAGUGAUGAAGGCCCUAGGGUUGUAAAGCUCUUUUGGCGGGGAAGAUAAUGACGGUACCCGCAGAAUAAGCCCCGGCUAACUUCGUGCCAGCAGCCGCGGUAAUACGAAGGGGGCUAGCGUUGCUCGGAAUCACUGGGCGUAAAGCGCACGUAGGCGGAUUCUUAAGUCAGAGGUGAAAGCCUGGAGCUCAACGCCAGAACUGCCUUUGAUACUGGGAGUCGCGAGUUCGGGAGAGGUGAGUGGAGCUGCGAGUGAAGAGGUGAAAUUCGUAGAUAUUCGCAAGAACACCAGGGGCGAAGGCGGCUCACUGGCCCGAUACUGACGCUGAGGUGCGAAAGCGUGGGGAGCAAACA
rnacentral:rRNA from 1 species